rnacentral:rRNA from 1 species
GAGGCAGCAGUGGGGAAUAUUGCACAAUGGGCGAAAGCCUGAUGCAGCAACGCCGCGUGAGGGACGACGGCCUUCGGGUUGUAAACCUCUUUUAGCAGGAAAGAAGCGAAAGUGACGGUACCUGCAGAAAAAGCGCCGGCUAACUACGUGCCAGCAGCCGCGGUAAUACGUAGGGCGCAAGCGUUAUCCGGAAUUAUUGGGCGUAAAGAGCUCGUAGGCGGUCUGUCGCGUCUGCUGUGAAAACCCGAGGCUCAACCUCGGGCCUGCAGUGGGUACGGGCAGACUAGAGUGCGGUAGGGGAGAUUGGAAUUCCUGGUGUAGCGGUGGAAUGCGCAGAUAUCAGGAGGAACACCGAUGGCGAAGGCAGAUCUCUGGGCCGUAACUGACGCUGAGGAGCGAAAGGGUGGGGAGCAAACAGGCUUAGAUACCCUGGUAGUCCACCCCGUAAACGUUGGGAACUAGUUGUGGGGUCCGUUCCAC